GAGUUUGAUCCUGGCUCAGGACGAACGCUGGCGGCAUGCCUAAUACAUGCAAGUCGAACGCACGAAGUAGAAAAGCUUGCUUUUCGACCAAGUGAGUGGCGGACGGGUGAGUAACACGUGGGUAACCUGCCCAUAAGAGGGGGAUAACAUUCGGAAACGGAUGCUAAUACCGCAUAUUUCAAGUGACCGCAUGGUCGCUUGAUGAAAGGUGGCUUCGGCUACCACUUAUGGAUGGACCCGCGGUGCAUUAGUUAGUUGGUGAGGUAAUGGCUCACCAAGACCAUGAUGCAUAGCCGACCUGAGAGGGUGAUCGGCCACACUGGGACUGAGACACGGCCCAGACUCCUACGGGAGGCAGCAGUAGGGAAUCUUCCGCAAUGGACGAAAGUCUGACGGAGCAAUGCCGCGUGAGUGAAGAAGGUUUUCGGAUCGUAAAACUCUGUUGUUAGAGAAGAACAAGGAUGAGAGUAACUGCUCAUCCCCUGACGGUAUCUAACCAGAAAGCCACGGCUAACUACGUGCCAGCAGCCGCGGUAAUACGUAGGUGGCAAGCGUUGUCCGGAUUUAUUGGGCGUAAAGCGAGCGCAGGCGGUUCUUUAAGUCUGAUGUGAAAGCCCCCGGCUCAACCGGGGAGGGUCAUUGGAAACUGGAGAACUUGAGUGCAGAAGAGGAGAGUGGAAUUCCAUGUGUAGCGGUGAAAUGCGUAGAUAUAUGGAGGAACACCAGUGUCGAAGGCGACUCUCUGGUCUGUAACUGACGCUGAGGCUCGAAAGCGUGGGGAGCAAACAGGAUUAGAUAC
rnacentral:rRNA from 1 species